GCUAGAAUUAGAAACUAAACCAUCCAGCAAAGUUAGCUAAGAAAUCCUACGUGGGUUCCAACAACUUAAGUUAUUGCCUGUCAACCUUACAAAACCUUAACCAUUCGUGACCCUUAACACAUCCCUCCUUCAAAAUAAUUAUAGUCCUUGCUUCCUUGGACCUUGGUGCUUCUUGUAAAUGAGACCAAAGUUACAAAUUUAGGCGGGGAGAUGAGAAUGAAGAACACUACAGACUGAUUCUGCAGCUGAGGGCCUAUAUUAUUCAGCUCAAAGAAGAAGUUUGCAAGUUGCAAGUAAAG
rnacentral:misc_RNA from 1 species